AGUGAUGUUACAUUUUGAAGUUAAUGAAAUAUUUAAAAGGCCAUGGUGAUUUAACUGCUGAGGUAGUAUACAAAACAGAUUGAUUCACAUUCAAUACAAUUUCAUAAAAUAAUCUUAUCUAUAAAACAAACUUUUUAAUACAUUUAGUAUUAAUUUAUUGCUUUAAAAUUUUCUAUCAUUUAUCUCUAUCAAAAUAAGUUACAUUUCUAGUUUUUAUUUUCAACCGUAAACAGCAGCAUUAAUUUUUACAAACAUGAAUGAUGAGCCAUAGUCACUCAUAACUAUUUAUGUCUAAGUUGUCUUAGAUCAAUUGAGCAAUUUCUGAAUAACUAAUGGCUAGUAUUUUAUUAUUCUAUGAUGAUAAGUGAUUUGACAGUAUCCAAGCUUCUGACAUAUUUUUGAAAACUUAUUUCUAUAGGGGUCAAAAUUUAAAUUAGUUGUAAUACAUGAUCCACUCAAAUACAUUCUCCAGAAUGAGCUAUUAAAAUGAAAUACCAAAGUGGUUCCCCAAGACGGCAAUUUAUAGUCUAUAUGUGCUGUGCAGGGUCAUUGAACCAAAGCACAGUGUAAUCAAGGAAAUUUUAUUUCUUGUCUUCUUUUUCCUAAGAUGUUUCUUACUCCCAGUUACAUGAAAAUGUACAUUACCCCGGAGCGGGGCGCUCGGCCGGGCCAGGCCCCUCCCUGGCACUGAGCCACGGCCAUGCAGAGAAAGCGGAGGAGGAGGGAGCAGAGACCUCACUGCGCUCAUGGCGUCGCCCGGGAUAGAAGUGGAAUUACUGGGCAAAAGCCAUUCAGAUUUGGGAGAAGUAGCUCCAGAAAUAAAAGCAUCAGAGAGACGGACAGCUGUGUCCAUUGCAGAUUUGGAAUGGAGAGAAAUGGAAAGAGAUGAUCGCGAGUUCCGUUACGGAGAUGGUGCAAAUGAGGCUCAGAACAAUGAUUUUCCAACAGUGGAGAGAAGCAGGUUUCAAGAAAUGCUGUCACUUUUGGGCCUAGAGAUGUACCAGGUCCAGAAGUUCAGUCUCCAGGACUCUCUGCAGAUCGGUUUUGACAGCACGAAGAACCGGGUCCCUCAGUUCCCAAAGACUUGCCCUGGAAUUUCCUCAGGAAGCUGCAGGCCCUCAACGCUGAAGUCAGGAAUACCACCAUGGUGCUGGACGUGCUCCCAGCUGCCAGGCCUGUGGAGAAGGAGAGCCAGAUGGAAGAGGAGAUCAUCUACUGGGACCCAGCUGGUGACCUUGUUGCCAACAUUUAUUCCUUUUCUGAGCUGCCCACCCCGGACACGCCAGUGAACCCCUUAGACCUUCUCUGUGCCCUGCUGCUCUCCUCAGUUUCCUGCAACAAGAAAUAGCGUUGAAAAUGGCCCUCUGCCAGUUCGCACUCCCGCUCAUGUUGCCUGACUCAGAGAACCACUACCAUACAUUUCUGCUAUGGGCCAUGAGGGGCAUUGUGAGGACAUGGUGGUCCCAGCUUCCAAGGGGCAUGGGGAGCUUCCGGGAAGACAGCGUGGUCUUGUCCAGGGUGCCCGCCUUCGCCUUCGUGCGCAUGGACGUCAGGAGCAACUCCAAGUCUCAGCUUCUCAACGCCGUCCUCGGCCCAGGCCACAAGCAGUGGGACUGCUUCUGGCAUCGGGACCUCAACUUGGGCAGUAAUGCCUGGGAGACUUCGGAUGGGUUGGUACAAAUUUCCUGUUUGUUUUUUUUUUUUUUCCCCCAGCGGAAGGGAGGACCUGGACAAUUUCCCAGAACCUGUCGCCUUUCUGAACCUGAGAGGUGACAUCGGGUCUCACUGGCUGCAGUUUAAGCUCUUGGCAGAAAUCUCCGCCGUGGUUAUAUUGACUGACAAUAUCAUUAAGAAGGAAUACAAAUUUCUCUACUCCAUGAAGGAGUCAACCACAAAACACUGCUUCAUCCUGAGUCCCUACCGUGGGAAACGUAACACAAACCUGAGAUUUCUGAAUAAGUUAAUUCCUGUGCUGAAAAGAGACCACUCGCACGUCCUGGUGAAGGUCAGCAGCACCGACAGCGACAACUUCGUGAAGAGGAUCCGGGCCAUUGUUGGGAAUGUGCUGCGGGCACCCUGCAAGUGGGUGUCUUUGGAGGACAUAGCACACGCAGCCCGCAAGCUGGGCCUAAAGGUCGACGAGGACUGUGAGGAGUGUCAGAAGGUGAAAGACCGGAUGAAGAGGAUUACCAGGAAAAUCAAGGACUCGGAUGCCUACCGAAGGGAUGAGCUGAGGCUGCAGGGGGACCCCUGGAGAAAGUCAGCCCAAGUGGAGAAGGAGUUCUGCCAGCUCCAGUGGGCGGCUGUUCCCCCCCCUGCUCCCCGGCAAGAAACACAGCGCUAGGCUGAGGUGGCGGCUGCUGGAACUUUGAAUGCAGCCGAACGGCCUGAAUCCCAACUCGGGGGUGCAGGAGUUCAUCUCGGGGAUCAGCAGCCCCUCCCUGAGUGAGAAGCAGUACUUCCUGAGGUGGACGGAGUGGGGCUAGGUGCAGGUGGCCCAGCCGAGACUGAGACAGCCUCCGGAGAUGCUUCUCACCCUAAGACCAAAGCACGGGGUCCCUCAGACUUGGGGGAGCCACUCUGGCCUGAGCCCCUGGGGGUGGAACACUUCCUGCGGGAGAUGGGACAGUUUUACAAGGCCGAGGGCUGCCUUGUGGAGGCGGGAAGGCUGCCAGCAGGCCAGAGGCGUUUUGCCCACUUCCCUGGCUUGGCCUUGGAGCUGCUGCUGACAGGGCUGCCUCUGGAGCUGAUCGAUGGGAGCACCCUGAGCAUGCCUGUCCGCUGGGUCACGGGGCUCCUGAAGGAGCUGCACAUCCGGACUGGAGAGAUGCUCAAGGCUGGUGGUCCUGUCAGCCCUCGGGGUGCUGUGCACGCUCCUCAACACCAUGUUUGGGCUGCGGUUUGCCACAGGGAAGAGCUGUGGUUCCAGGAGCCUUCAUGCAGCUCAGCACAGUGGCCGAGGGCUUCAGCCAGGACCUGGGCUGUGACCACAUCCUGGUGAUAGACUCCAGGGGGUUGAUAGGUGGGGCUUUGACCUCAGCUGGGGACAGGUUUGAGCUGGAGGCUUCCUUGGCCUGGGGCUAAGCAACGUCACCGUGAUCAGCUUAGCUGAAACUAAGGACAUUCCAGCAGCUAUUCUGCAUGCAUUUCUGAGGCUGGGAAAAACAGGGGCACAUGCCCAACUACCAGUUCAUAUACCAGAACCUUCAUGAGGUAUCUGUUUUUGGCUCCAGGCCAAGAGACAAGGGACAGUUCCUGGAUCCACCUGGUGACCUGAGCAAAGCUGCAGCCCAGAUGUUGAAACAGGGUGACGGCUUCUGGGCACUGGCAGGCCUGGCCUUCUGUGAUCCUGAGAAGCAGCACAUCUGGCACAUCCCUGGCCUGUGGCAUGGAGCACCUCCCAUGGCCACAGUGAGCUUGGCCUAUAGUGAAGCCAUAUUUGAAUUGAAGAGAUGGAUACUUGAAAACAUCAGGAACAGCCUGUGUAACCAAAACAAAAACAUCCAGCAGCUCAUUGAGCUGGUGAGACGGCUGUGAGUGUGCAGAGAAACCCGGGUCAGGUGUAGGCGGCUGCUGUGGGCAGCCCUGUCUGAUGGGGCACCCAUGUGGGGCUGUGCCCUGGUGCCUGAGAAUGGCCGGUGCCCAAUCGACAUGAGAAGACAAGCAAAAGACAGAGGGUUUGGAGUCUCCUCAACAGUGUUAAGAGAGGAAGUGACCUCACAGACCAGCUCAGAGAUGUUACCAGGAAUAUAACAGCCCCCAGGGUAGGGAGAGAAGCAGAAGUUUGUUCUGUCUCAGCUCCUGUCAAGGAUCCUGUGGGGUGAGCCCUCUGUACAGCUGCUCUCUGUCACUGGCCCCUGGAGUGGGAGCAGCAUCCUGAGUCACUACAGGCCCAGGCAGGCAGAUUGGGACACUACUGUCCCAGGACAGAGGUGGGGAAGUCGUCCUGAGAAAGCAGAGGUAGGCCUUGCUCCAGCCCAACCCAAGGGGCUCCGGUGGACCAGCAUUCAAGAUGUAAGUGCCAGUGGUGUGCAAAGCACUCCCAUGACACCAUAUUUAUUGACUGAUCUGUGAAGCCUUUUCUGACCCCUGCCAAGGAAGAGUUCAUUGGUCACUCUGUUGUGCCCCACAGCACUUUGUUAUACCUCUGCCACGCACUGCACGCAGUGUGCAUUGUAACACAUGUGUUUACAUGUGUGUUCCCCAGACUGUGAACUCCUUGAGGGCAGGGACUGUAUAUUCUCCAGCUCUGUGUCCCCAGGGCCUGGCACAUCAUAGACGCUUCAUAAAUGUCUGUUGAAUGAAAAAAAAAAGAAAAUGUACAUUACAAGAAAAGAAAAAUUAACACACAUAGAAGGAAAUAUAAUGUGUACCAUAUUGAUAUCAGCUUUGCUUUAUCUAUUAAAGGAUAAAACAAACUCACGGUUUCAGGAUCUUGUAACUCUGUGUUCACUGGAAAGCACAGAAAUUCUUCAGAGCCUCAAGAGUCAUAUUUAAUGCAUUAUUCAGAUAGUGUCCAACCACUGGUUAGAUAGCUUAGUGCUCAAGUAGACUUGAAAAUCUCUGUAGACUUAGCCGGGCAUGGUGGCCCGUGCCUGUAAUCCCAGCCACUCAGGAGGCUGAGGCGGGAGAAUCGCUUGAACCUGGAAAGUGGAGGUUGCAGUGAACAAAGAUCAUUCAAAAAAACCUUUAAAACAAGAAAUCUCUGUAAACUCACCUCAGUUGAAUAGUCAUGAUAAUUUACAGAAGCAUGUAAUACACUAAGGGAUCCCUGAUGUACAAUGUCUUUGCCCAUGAAGUGUUUUAUGUGUUGAUCUAGAGAGAGAGAGAGAGUGUGUGUGUGUGUGUGUGUGUGUGUGUGUGUGUGUGUGUGUCUGUCUGUCUGUCAGCCUGUAUGUACAUGGGUGAGUAUGGGUUGUGCAGGUGUGUUUGUGUGUGUAUGUGUUUACACUGUGUAUGUGUCUGUUGGGAUGCCACCAUUAGGAAUUUGGAAGCAUGGAGACCAUAAACCUGUAAACAUGCUUGCUUCAUAAGAAUUAUACCAAACAUAUUCAAAAGUAACUAAACCAAGUAAACAAUUAGACAUCAAUUAAAUUUAAUGCUGGCUGGAGAGAAGUAUUCAAGGCCAGGUAACAGGAAGAAAUAUAGCCAAAUUAAUGAAAUUUUUAAAUUAAUUAGUAGAACGAGACAGGAAUAUUUUCUUAAGUUUUUAAUUACUGGUGAAUAUCAGUCUAUAAAACUAAAAAUUACAUGGCUCCCAACUGACUAAAAACAGUAAGAUUUGAGCUAGUGAAAUUGCCAUAUAUGAUCUUCUAACUCCAUUGCCUGUCUCAAGAAUGAUUUGUUUAAAUGAUUUCUUUUUGAAAUGUUACAUUCUCGUCUUGAAAGAGUUUCACACAACCUACAUGGGAAUCUGGAUUGUCAUAAGACGUGUGAUUUCUAAAAUGGUAUGUUUGUAUUUCUGUUAUGUACAGCAAGAUCAAACAUUCAUUUCCUGAGCUGUUCUCCAGAACACAAUUUGACUUGUAAUGAACACUCAAUAAAUGGUUGGUUGGAUAAUCAAAUCAACAUCUUAGUUUCAUCAAUGUUCAUUUCAUAUAAAAUGACUGAUCUUCUGUACACAUCAAUGAAACAGAGAGGGAUGAGGGAGGGAGAGAAGUUGAGACUGAGAGGAUGAGAAGCAGACCUCAUGCUGCAGUGGAUUUCCUGCACUCUACGCUUCUGAAUGCUUGGAAACACUUACCUUACUCAAAAGGUGUUGGUAUUUCCUAGGCAGAAAAUGGAAGUUCAAGAAAGUCCAUAUUUCACCAUUACAAUAACUUGCACUAUAAUACACAGAUGACAUACAUUUCUUAAGCUAUUCAAUUCAUAGAAAAUGUAGACACAUUUAGGUAAGCAAGAUCUAAAAGAAGCAUUAAUCAAGCUGAGUGUGAUUGUGAGAUUCAGUCUAAUAUAUUAUGCAAUGAUUUUGUAAUGAUAUCAGUUGACAUAUCUGUUGAAAUGAAAGGUGGGAGAGUUUCUCAUGAGCUACUGAAACUUACUGCAUGUUGCUGAGAGAGAGGCUGGUCCAUGUGAUUAGGCCAGAUGUGUUUUCUAAUUGUGGCUUAGGAAAGUUACGUUCCUAACCACUCAGAGACUGGGAGACAGGGACGCUAAAUUUUAUAACAUUUACAUUUAAUACAUAUUUAAUAAUACGCAACAAAAUCUUUAAAAUGUCAGUUUUGUCUUUCCUCUAGUUUGCAGUAUUUUGUUUUCAGCAAACCAUUGUUUUUAGUACAUACGUUUUGUGUAUUUAAAAAACGUGUUAAAAAUGUUAGACCAACUCUCUUUUUACCGCCUUCCCUUUUUACCCUUUACUGCCAUUUACAUCCACACAUUCACCCGCACGUGCACACACACAUACCGACCAAAAUUAAUUUAGAUGUACAAAUGUGAUCUUUGAAGUAAAACGUCAGCCUAUAUUAGUAAAAGUGUCAUGCCAGUU